rnacentral:rRNA from 1 species
UAGGGAAUCUUCNNGCAAUGGACGGAAGUCUGACCGAGCAACGCCGCGUGAGUGAAGAAGGUUUUCGGAUCGUAAAGCUCUGUUGUAAGAGAAGAACGAGUGUGAGAGUGGAAAGUUCACACUGUGACGGUAUCUUACCAGAAAGGGACGGCUAACUACGUGCCAGCAGCCGCGGUAAUACGUAGGUCCCGAGCGUUGUCCGGAUUUAUUGGGCGUAAAGCGAGCGCAGGCGGUUAGAUAAGUCUGAAGUUAAAGGCUGUGGCUUAACCAUAGUACGCUUUGGAAACUGUUUAACUUGAGUGCAAGAGGGGAGAGUGGAAUUCCAUGUGUAGCGGUGAAAUGCGUAGAUAUAUGGAGGAACACCGGUGGCGAAAGCGGCUCUCUGGCUUGUAACUGACGCUGAGGCUCGAAAGCGUGGGGAGCAAACAGGAUUAGAUACCCUGGUAGUCCACGCCGUAAACGAUGAGUGCUAGGUGUUAGACCCUUUCCGGGGUUUAGUGCCGCAGCUAACGCAUUAAGCACUCCGCCUGGGGAGUACGACCGCAAGGNUG